AACGAACGCUGGCGGCGUGCUUAACACAUGCAAGUCGAACGGAAUUAGGGGGCUUGCUCCUUAAUUUAGUGGCGCACGGGUGAGUAACGCGUGGAUAAUCUGCCUGAUGAUCUGGGAUAACAUCUCGAAAGGGGUGCUAAUACCGGAUAAGCCCACGGGGUCUUCGGAUCUUGCGGGAAAAGAGGGGGACCUUCGGGCCUCUUGUCAUCAGAUGAGUCCGCGUACCAUUAGCUAGUUGGUAGUGUAAUGGACUACCAAGGCGACGAUGGUUAGCUGGUCUGAGAGGAUGAUCAGCCACACUGGAACUGAGACACGGUCCAGACUCCUACGGGAGGCAGCAGUGGGGAAUUUUGCGCAAUGGGGGAAACCCUGACGCAGCAACGCCGCGUGAGUGAUGAAGGCCUUCGGGUCGUAAAGCUCUGUCUAGAGGAAAGAAAUGUACGGUGGCUAAUAUCCAUUGUACUUGACGGUACCUCUGAAGGAAGCACCGGCUAACUCCGUGCCAGCAGCCGCGGUAAUACGGAGGGUGCGAGCGUUGUUCGGAAUUAUUGGGCGUAAAGCGCGUGUAGGCGGUUUCUUAAGUCUGAUGUGAAAGCCCCGGGCCCAACCUGGGAAGUGCAUUGGAUACUGGGAGACUUGAGUACGGGAGAGGGUAGUGGAAUUCCUAGUGUAGGAGUGAAAUCCGUAGAUAUUAGGAGGAACACCGGUGGCGAAGGCGGCUACCUGGACCGAUACUGACGCUGAGACGCGAAAGCGUGGGGAGCAAACAGGAUUAGAUACCCUGGUAGUCCACGCCGUAAACGAUGAGUACUAGGUGUUGCGGGUAUUGACCCCUGCAGUGCCGCAGCUAACGCAUUAAGUACUCCGCCUGGGAAGUACGGUCGCAAGACUA
rnacentral:rRNA from 1 species